rnacentral:rRNA from 1 species
AUUCCAGCUCCAAUAGCGUAUAUUAAAGUUGUUGCAGUUAAAACGCUCGUAGUCGGAUUUCGGGGCAGGCCGACCGGUCUGCCGAUGGGUAUGCACUGGCCGGCGCGUCCUUCCACCCGGAGACCGCGCCUCCUCUUAACUGAGCGGGCGCGGGAGACGGGUCUUUUACUUUGAAAAAAUCAGAGUGUUUCAAGCAGGCAGUCGCUCUUGCAUGGAUUAGCAUGGGAUAAUGAAAUAGGACUCUGGUGCUAUUUUGUUGGUUUCGAACACCGGAGUAAUGAUUAACAGGGACAGUCAGGGGCACUCGUAUUCCGCCGAGAGAGGUGAAAUUCUCAGACCAGCGGAAGACGAACCACUGCGAAAGCAUUUGCCAGGGAUGUUUUCAUCA